AGGACUUGUCACCAGGCUUCGGUACCCAGUUAGUGUGAAAGGGAAGAAUGCACCCACCACUGCAGGAUUCAGCUAUGAGAAAUGGGAGAUUAACCCUUCAGAACUGACCUUUAUGAGGGAAUUGGGAAGUGGACUGUUUGGAGUGGUGAGGCUUGGCAAAUGGCGAGCCCAGUACAAAGUCGCAAUCAAAGCUAUUCGGGAAGGUGCAAUGUGCGAGGAGGACUUUAUAGAAGAAGCUAAAGUGAUGAUGCUGCCAGAAAUUGUCUAGUAAGUGAGGCGGGAGUUGUAAAAGUAUCUGAUUUUGGAAUGGCCAGGUAUGUUCUGGAUGAUCAGUACACAAGUUCUUCUGGUGCUAAGUUUCCUGUGAAGUGGUGUCCACCUGAAGUGUUUAAUUACAGCCGCUUCAGCAGCAAAUCAGAUGUCUGGUCAUUUGGUGUUUUAAUGUGGGAAGUAUUCACGGAAGGCAGAAUGCCUUUUGAAAAAUACACCAAUUAUGAAGUGGUAACCAUGGUUACUCGAGGCCACCGACUCUACCAGCCGAAGUUGGCGUCCAACUAUGUGUAUGAGGUGAUGCUGAGAUGUUGGCAGGAGAAACCAGAGGGAAGGCCUUCUUUCGAAGAUCUGCUGCGCACAAUAGAUGAACUAGUUGAAUGUGAAGAAACUUUUGGAAGAUAAGUGAUG
rnacentral:lncRNA from 1 species